GUCUGUUUUCUUGAGGGGAUACGCUCUCCAUCUGGUGAUUGGUUUGAGGGUGGUGUGUGUGUGUGUGUGUGUGUGUGUGUGUGUGUGUGUGUGUGUGUGUGUGUGUGUGUGUGUGUGUGUGUGUGUGUGUGUGUUUGUGUGUGUGUGGUGUGAGGUGUUGUGAGUAGGCAGGAGAGAAGAAUAGACAUGAUCACACGUCAUCAGAAAUUACUGCAAAACCUCAGAAAAAAGAGAAAUCCAUAAAACAUCUACAAUCACUAAAGACCGAACUCUCUCAACUGUACGAAGACAAGAAACUCGACGGCUACAGCCUUUACCUAUAUGGGAUUGUAUUGAAAGAAUUAGAUCAAAGAGACAAGCUUAGAGGAUUGUUUGAGGAGUGUGUGAACAAGACACCAUUUCUAUGGUCGGCAUGGCAAGAACUAGCAGCAACAUGCAAGGACAGAGAGUCGGUCAGUAUUGUGGCAACUCAAUAAUCUUGUUAACUCAAACAACUCAGUCAAUCAACUACCGGCAAAACCACAUGUCUCGUAUAAUACCCAACUCCACAACAUCCCCCCUCAAACAAAUUAAACUACUCAAACAGCCUUAUUUGUAAAGCUCUAUACCCACUCUUCUAAACGUUCAGGUGGUUGUCCUUUAGUUCUUCUCUGGCUACGUCUAGGUAACUUCUCUGUCUCGAUGGAAUCAUCAUCCGAAUCAGAAUCGGUCACAAUCGCGUUAUUAGCUGGCGAGGAAUGACAUGUUUUCGGAGACAAGAUUCUGCUCGACAAAUGGUUCAUGUGUACUUUUCUAGUAGUGCCUGUGAGAAACCUGACCAUGUAGUAUCUUUGUCCUAGAACUUUGAGAAUUGUUGCUGGUUUCCAAAAACCUUUUCCUUUACUUUCUGGCUGUCUAACAAAACAGCUUCUCCUAAUUGAAAGGGUUUCCUUUCAUGAGACGUAUGAUCAUGUCUUUUCUUUUGUCUCUCUUGACACUCUUGAACUUUGUGUUUCAGUAACUGCUUAGUCUGAUCUUGAUGGCCAGGUAAUUCUGGCAAUAGAAGUGUUUGGUCGUUGGGGUCAGGAUGCAGAAUCCACUCUUUCUGAGGCAUCUCGCAUGGCGCACAUGUGUUUACAAAUAAACUCUGCCCAAUUCAAGAAUCUUGGCAUCGCCGCAUCUCAACAAGUCUCCAGAAAGAAAAUGUACGCAUUAUCGAGAACAAAGUAAAUACAAUAAUUAGCAAGAAGCAAAAAGAACCGAAUGCUAUUUCUAGAUUAGGUUUUAGUUCUAGAUGUUUUGGUCUAGAUUUCAGUUAGUUUGUUGAGAGUAGCAAAGUUCUUGAACUGUGUUCAAGAACAAUACUAUUGUAAUGGACAGUUCACUAUAGACAUUGUAAGGUAGCUCUUUUAAAUUCACGCGUUGUACUAUGAUUAGAAAAUAUUGAAAUAGAGAGAGACAGAGACA